rnacentral:rRNA from 1 species
CCCUACGGGGGGCAGCAGUGAGGAAUAUUGGUCAAUGGGCUUACGCCUGAACCAGCCAAGUCGCGUGAGGGAAGACUGCCCUAUGGGUUGUAAACCUCUUUUGUCAAGGAGCAGUUGGCGCUACGUGUAGCGUUAUCGAGAGUACCUGAAGAAAAAGCAUCGGCUAACUCCGUGCCAGCAGCCGCGGUAAUACGGAGGAUGCGAGCGUUAUCCGGAUUUAUUGGGUUUAAAGGGUGCGUAGGCGGAAUGCCAAGUCAGCGGUAAAAUCGCGGGGCUCAACCUCGCUCCGCCGUUGAAACUGGCGU